rnacentral:rRNA from 1 species
GUUAGGAAUAUUGGUCAAUGGGCGAGAGCCUGAACCAGCCAAGUCGCGUGAAGGAUGAAGGUUUUAUGAAUUGUAAACUUCUUUUGCAGGGGAAUAAAGUACGGUACGUGUACCGUUUUGUAUGUACUCUGCGAAUAAGGAUCGGCUAACUCCGUGCCAGCAGCCGCGGUAAUACGGAGGAUCCAAGCGUUAUCCGGAUUUAUUGGGUUUAAAGGGUGCGCAGGCGGGUUGAUAAGUCAGCGGUGAAAGUUUGCAGCUUAACUGUAAAAUUGCCGUUGAAACUGUCGAUCUUGAGUGCAAAUGAGGUAAGCGGAAUGUGUUGUGUAGCGGUGAAAUGCUUAGAUAUAACACAGAACACCGAUUGCGAAGGCAGCUUACUGGGAUGCAACUGACGCUCAUGCACGAAAGCGUGGGGAUCAAACAGGAUUAGAUACCCGUGUAGUCC